ensembl:lncRNA
CUGGGAUAUCCGGUCACAGUUUAAAUACCAGCUGCUGACCUGAGCGACCUGCAGACUUUUACUGAUCUGAUCUUCAGUCGUUCUGCUGCUAACCACUCCAGAACUUCUAGUUUUAAUUUCAUGAACUGUUUUUUGACAAAUUUUUUCACAAGUAUUAUCCUGAUGCAUGCGCCUCAAUGUCGGAGCCACAGAUUUCCCUCCAUGGAGGGUCACGGUGAGAGGAUGGAUGGAUGGAUGGAUGGGGGGCAGAUGGGGGUGGUAUGUGCGAGCCUCCCCUCCUCGUACCUCCACCUCCCGGGUCAACAAUGAGCCGAGGUCGCAGAGCAGCAGCACAAGUGGCUGCAACAAUGUGAGAGGGAGUCUGCAGCCCGGCGUCACCUCAGGGCCUCGGCUGGCAUGCUGAUCAGAGGAUUAGGCCUCCGAGUCAAGAGCAGGAAGGCAUGCAGGGAACAUGAGGUGGUUCCAAAGUGAAGAUCUUGAUGGAGAACGCUCAGUCACCUUUAGAUUUAAACUUCAACUUUGGAAUGACCAGAAGGAUCCACCUGAGGAUCUGAGGCUGCAGUGGGAUCAUACGGGGUCAACAGAUCCUAAAUUGAUCCCACAUGAGAGUGAGACGGCCGGGCUUUAGAGGAAAUGUGUCCUGAUUGGAGAGGCAAGCUGUCCCCGCCACUCCAGCGACUGUACCGCUGGAGAGGCCAGUGCGUUCACCAUAUGGGACAGGGAUGGUCAAUAGGAUUACGCCCCGCAAACUCUCCUUCUCCCUCUUCUCUCCACCACAUAAUCAGCCAGGGGGAUGAAG